UACCAGCUCCCCGAGUGGUCAGGACGAUUAUUGGGCUUAAAGCAUCCGUAGCCGGCUUUGUAGGUCUCUUGUUAAAUCCAACGGCUCAACCGUUGGUUCGCAGGGGAUACCGCAGAGCUAGGGGGCGGGAGAGGCGGACGGUACUCCAUAGGUAGGGGUAAAAUCCUUUGAUCUAUGGAAGACCACCAGUGGCGAAGGCGGUCCGCUAGAACGCGCCCGACGGUGAGGGAUGAAAGCUGGGGGAG
rnacentral:rRNA from 1 species